GCGCCCGUAGCUCAACUGGAUAGAGCGUCUGGCUACGAACCAGGAGGCUGUAGGUUCAAAUCCUUCCGGGCGUA
rnacentral:tRNA from 1 species